CAUAACAUACCUCCAUGGGACAGAGAUAGCAAUUGAUCAUAAGUUUGCAGAAAUCCUAGAAGACAGAAACUAAUUAGGAUCAGACUGAAGGUGCAAACAGAGAAGUGAAAAGCUACAGUCUAAAACGUCAUAGCAGGUGGAUUCUUAACCACUGGACCACCAGGGAAACCCAGGACUGCUACAGACCACAAAUACAAUUAUCGACUCUUGGAAAUCUCAUCUACAGAGGAACCUGGUGGGCUGCAGUCCAUGGGUCACAAAGAGUCAGACAUGACUUAGUGACUCAGCAACAACAAAGGUGUCCAAGUAGAAUGCUAUUACAUACAAUUCAAUAAACUUGGAUCUAAAAACAUGAUAUAUUUUAAUCCGCAGAUAUAAAAGAGUACCUGCAUUUUAUAAUAUUUUAUAGAUAAUUUCUAAAUUAAAUGAUAAGUAAGAUGAUUGAGUAAAGAAGACGCACAGAAUUAUAA
ensembl:lncRNA